rnacentral:piRNA from 1 species
UGGCCACAAGUGCUUGAGUGAUAACGGC